rnacentral:rRNA from 1 species
UACAGAGGUCUCAAGCGUUGUUCGGAUUCAUUGGGCGUAAAGGGUGCGUAGGUGGCGGGGUAAGUCAGGUGUGAAAUCUCGGGGCUCAACCCCGAAACUGCACUUGAUACUGCCUUGCUCGAGUACUGGAGAGGAGAUUGGAAUUUACGGUGUAGCAGUGAAAUGCGUAGAUAUCGUAAGGAAGACCAGUGGCGAAGGCGAAUCUCUGGACAGUUACUGACACUGAGGCACGAAAGCCAGGGGAGCAAACGGG